rnacentral:rRNA from 1 species
CCUACGGGUGGCAGCAGUGGGGAAUAUUGCGCCAUGGGCGAAAGCCUGACGCAGCGACGCCGCGUGAGGGAUGAAGGUCUUCGGAUCGUAAACCUCUGUCAGCAGGGAAGAACGGUCACUGUGCUAAUCAGCAGUGAAUUGACUGUACCUGCAAAGGAAGCACCGGCUAACUCCGGGCCAGCAGCCGCGGUAAUACGGAGGGUGCGAGCGUUAAUCGGAAUUACUGGGCGUAAAGCGCGCGUAGGCGGUAUGUCAAGUCAAGGGUGAAAUCCCCGCGCUCAACGUGGGAACUGCCUUUGAUACUGGCAAACUUGAGUGUGUGAGAGGAUAGUGGAAUUCCAGGUGUAGCAGUGAAAUCCGUAGAUAUCUCGAAGAACAUCAAUGGCGAAGGCGACUAUCUGGCACAUAACUGACGCUGAGGAGCGAAAGCGUGGGUAGCAAACAGGAUUAGAUACCCCAGUAGUC